rnacentral:rRNA from 1 species
AUACGGGGGGAGCAAGCGUUGUCCGGAAUCAUUGGGCGUAAAGGGCACGUAGGCGGUUUCUUAAGUCGAAUGUGAAAUCUCGCGGCUCAACCGUGAAACUGCGUUCGAAACUAAGUGACUUGAGUUUGGGAGAGGUGCACGGAAUUCCUGGUGUAGCGGUGGAAUGCGUAGAUAUCAGGAAGAACACCAAUGGCGAAGGCAGUACACUGGCCUGAAACUGACGCUGAGGUGCGAAAGCGUGGGGAGCAAACAGGAUUAGAAACCCCAGUAGUCC